CCGGGACAUCCGCAGGCUCCCGGACAAAGGCGGUGUCCAAGUCGCCCAAGCUCUGC
rnacentral:ncRNA from 1 species